rnacentral:rRNA from 1 species
GGAGCUGCUACGGCAGCGAAGUGGGUGAUGUCAAGCUUCCAAGAAAAGCCCUAUACCCGUUAAGGCAUGAUGGCCUGUACCCGAAACCGACACAGGUGGGGUGGUAGAGAAUACCGAGGGGCGCGAGAUAGCUCUCUCUAAGGAACUCGGCAAAAUGGCCCCGUAACUUCGGGAGAAGGGGUGCCACCGCAAGGUGGUCGCAGUGAAGAGGCCCAGGCGACUGUUUACCAAAAACACAGGUCUCCGCUAAGUCGCAAGACGAUGUAUGGGGGCUGACGCCUGCCCAGUGCCGGAAGGUUAAGGAAGCUGGUCAGCGUAAGCGAAGCUAGCGACUGAAGCCCCGGUGAACGGCGGCCGUAACUAUAACGGUCCUAAGGUAGCGAAAUUCCUUGUCGGGUAAGUUCCGACCCGCACGAAAGGCGUAACGAUCUGGGCGCUGUCUCGGAGAGAGGCUCGGCGAAAUAGAAUUGUCUGUGAAGAUGCGGACUACGUGCACCCGGACAGAAAGACCCUAUGAAGCUUUACUGUAGCUUGGUAUUGUGCUCGGGCUCGGAAUGCGCAGGAUAGGUGGGACGCUAUGAACCAUUGCUUGUGGGUGAUGGUGAGCCACUGGUGAGAUACCACUCUUUCCGAGCUAGAGUUCUAACAGCCACCCGUUAUCCGGGGGCUGGACAGUAUCAGGUGGGCAGUUUGACUGGGGCGGUCGCCUCCUAAAAGGUAACGGAGGCGCGCAAAGGUUUGCUCAGGCUGGUUGGAAAUCAGCCGACGAGUGUAAAAGCAGAAGCAAGCUUGACUGUGAGACCUACAAGUCGAACAGGGAGGAAACUCGGCUUUAGUGAUCCGACGGUUCUGCGUGGAAGGGCCGUCGCUCAACGGAUAAAAGUUACUCUAAGGAUAACAGGCUGAUCUCCCCCAAGAGUUCACAUCGACGGGGAGGUUUGGCACCUCGAUGUCGGCUCAUCGCAACCUGGGGCUGAAGUCGGUCCCAAGGGUAGGGCUGUUCGCCCAUUAAAGCGGUACGCGAGCUGGGUUCAGAACGUCGUGAGACAGUUCGGUCCAUAUCCGGUGCAUGCGCAGGAAUAUUGAGAGGAUUUCUCCCUAGUACGAGAGGACCGGGAGGAACGCACCUCUGGUGUACCAGUUAUCGUGCCAACGGUAAACGCUGGGUAGCCAUGUGCGGAGAGGAUAACCGCUGAAAGCAUCUAAGUGGGAAGCCCACCUCAAGAUGAGUAUUCCCAUGGGGUAACCCAGUAAGGUCACGGGAAGAACACCCGUUGAUAGGCUCUACGUGGAAGCGCAGUAAUGUGUGAAGCGGAGGAGUACUAAUAGACCGAGGGCUUGAC